GCCAGGCAUGCCUAUUAGGAGGCGAAUAUUGUAGCCGACUGAUGGCAUCCUAUGUUGCAGAGCACUUGGGAGAGUCCUUGUGGGUUGAAAGAAGAAUAAUCCCAGACUGUCUUAGAGAUAUUUUAUUUUCUGAUUCUUUAAAUUAUAUUCACACACAGAUUGUUUGAAUGCACCGUCUUUACCAAAAAAAAAAAAUUCAUUCCAACCCAUUUAAAAUUUUG
rnacentral:lncRNA from 1 species